rnacentral:rRNA from 1 species
GUUAUUGUUUAUUUGAUACAACAAAUGGAUAACUGUAGAAAAACUAGAGCUAAUACAUGCUUUAACCGCAAGGUUGUAUUUAUUAGAUAUUCCAGAUUGGUGAAUCAUAAUAACUUCGCAAAUCUCGUUUAUGACGAGAUAAAUCAUCCAAGUUUCUGCCCUAUCAUGCUUUCGAUGGUAGUGUAUUGGACUACCAUGGCUCUCACGGGUAACAGGGAAUUAGGGUUCGAUUCUGGAGAAGGAGCCUGAGAAACGGCUACUACAUCUACGGAAGGCAGCAGGCGCGUAAAUUACCCAAUCCUGACUCAGGGAGGUGGUGACAAGAUAUAACAACGCGAUUUAUAUCGCGAUUGUAGUGAGGGUAUUCUAAAUAGAACCUAUAGUACGAUUAGAGGGCAAGUCUGGUGCCAGCAGCCGCGGUAAUUCCAGCUCUAAUAGCGUAUAUUAAUGUUGCUGCAGUUAAAAAGCUCGUAGUUGGAUUUCAAGGACUGUAAACCCUUCGGGGAAUACAACCUACUAGUCUUAGACUGUUACUGUGAGUAAAUUAGAGUGUUUCAAGCAGGCUUUUGCAAGAAUAUAUUAGCAUGGAAUAACGAAUGUAUUUAGAAUCUUGGUUAAUUCUAAAUUACGAUUAAUAGAGACAGUUGGGGGCAUUAGUAUUUAAUUGUCAGAGGUGAAAUUCUUGGAUUUGUUAAAGACUAACGUAUGCGAAAGCAUUUGCCAAGGAUGUUUUCAUUAAUCAAGGAC